rnacentral:rRNA from 1 species
GACGAACGCUGGCGGCGUGCUUAACACAUGCAAGUCGAACGGAAAGGCCCUGCUUUUGUGGGGUGCUCGAGUGGCGAACGGGUGAGUAACACGUGAGUAACCUGCCCUUGACUUUGGGAUAACUUCAGGAAACUGGGGCUAAUACCGGAUAGGAGCCCCUGCUGCAUGGUGGGGGUUGGAAAGUUUCGGCGGUUGGGGAUGGACUCGCGGCUUAUCAGCUUGUUGGUGGGGUAGUGGCUUACCAAGGCUUUGACGGGUAGCCGGCCUGAGAGGGUGACCGGCGACAUUGGGACUGAGAUACGGCGCAGACUCGUACGGGAGGCAGCAGUGGGGAAUAUUGCACAAUGGGCGGAAGCCGGAUGCAGCAACGCCGCGUGCGGGAUGACGGCCUUCGGGUUGUAAACCGCUUUCGCCUGUGACGAAGCGUGAGUGACGGUAAUGGGUAAAGAAGCACCGGCUAACUACGUG